rnacentral:rRNA from 1 species
UACGGGGGGAGCAAGCGUUGUUCGGAUUUACUGGGCGUAAAGGGCGCGUAGGCGGCCACUGCAAGUCAGUUGUGAAAUCUCCGGGCUUAACCCGGAAAGGUCAACUGAUACUGCAGGGCUAGAGUGCAGAAGGGGCAACUGGAAUUCUCGGUGUAGCGGUGAAAUGCGUAGAUAUCGAGAGGAACACCUGCGGCGAAGGCGGGUUGCUGGGCUGACACUGACGCUGAGGCGCGAAAGCCAGGGGAGCGAACAGG